rnacentral:SRP_RNA from 1 species
UAGCAGGUUCCGUGUUAGCGGCUGCCGCCUAACCCCGUCAGGUCCGGAAGGAAGCAGCGGUAAGCGGCCAGCCGCUGUGCACGUCCGGCUUGCUAUUC